CAGCAGCCGCGGUAAUUCCAGCUCCAAUAGCGUAUAUUAAAGUUGUUGUGGUUAAAAAGCUCGUAGUUGGAUCUCAACAGCCUUGAAGCGGUUAACUUUGUAGUUUUACUGCUUUAUAGGCUGUGCUUUUGCUGGAGGUUUAGGGGUGCUCUUGAUCGAGCGUCUCUGGAUGCCAGCAGGUUUACUUUGAAAAAAUUAGAGUGCUCAAAGCAGGCUAAAAUGCCUGAAUAUUCGUGCAUGGAAUAAUAGAAUAGGAUGUCGAUCCUAUUUUGUUGGUUUUCGGGACUCGACAUAAUGAUAAAUAGGGACAGUCGGGGGCAUUUGUAUUCAAACGACAGAGGUGAAAUUCUUGGACCGUUUGAAGACAAACUACUGCGAAAGCAUUUGCCAAGAAUGUUUUCAUUAAUCAAGAACGAAAGUUAGAGGUUCGAAGGCGAUCAGAUACCGCCCUAGUUCUAACCAUAAACGAUGCCAGCUAGCGAUCUGCCUGCGUUUUUACUGUAGACUGGGCAGGAAGCUUCCGGGAAACCAAAGCAUUUGGGUUCCAGGGGAAGUAUGGUUGCAAAGCUGAAACUUAAAGGAAUUGACGGAAGGGCACCACCAGGAGUGGAGCCUGUGGCUUAAUUUGACUCAACACGGGAAAUCUCACCAGGCCCGGACACUGGAAGGAUUGACAGAUUGAUAGCUCUUUCUUGAUUCGGUGGGUGGUGGUGCAUGGCCGUUCUUAGUUGGUGGAGUGAUUUGUCUGGUUAAUUCCGAUAACGAACGAGACUCUGUCCUGCUAAAUAGUUUCUACUUCUCUUUUGAGUAGAAAUUUCUUCUUAGAGGGACUGGUGACUCUUAGUCACACGAGAUUGAGCAAUAACAGGUCUGUGAUGCCCAAGGG
rnacentral:rRNA from 1 species